GAGGGAGGACACAGCCAGGACACGGCCUGGAUACAACCCUGGCCACGGCCACCCCAGCAGGCCCCUCUCCAGACCAGGAAGGGUUGAACAAGGACUUAUGACAGCUCAGUUCACAGGAAAGGAUGGGGAUGUCCUGGCUUUCUCACUUGUGAACCAAAACUGACAACUCAAUAGCAGAAUACAUAUUAAUGCAUCUAUUUAUAUGGAUUGUGGGCCAUACAAUUAUUCACAUAAGGAAGAGAUCCUUGAGCAAGAGUCUUAAAGCAGCAGCAUUCACAAGAACAAGGCUCCACAGAAAUUCCCCUCAUUUUACGGAUUACUACAAACAUCAGACAAUGACUCAGCAGAAUAAUUUGUGCACUAGUAAACACAAGUCUUGGAAAGAAAAUCUGUCUAACAUUUAAGCAUUAGAGAAGAACUCAGACUCACUGUUUCAAAUCAAAACAUAUCGACUUAGGGGAGUGCAACUUUUCCUCUUGGUUGCAAGUGUCCUGCAACAUUGUCAUCUUCAGCGAAAGAAUAACGAUAAAAAUUCAACAAAAAUUAAUUUCUAGCUGUUGUGUAUUGAUAAGGAUCAUGGCUGAAAUAUUGUGGCAAAACUAGUUCCUCCAGUCCCAGGACUGUCAAAGGCUAAAAAGAAUCAUGCCUCAAAUAUUGUAGCAGGACAUGACACAUUCAGUAGAAGGGUGAACUACGAUUUACAUAUCAACGACAAGCUAAAGAGCCACAGCCCAGGCUGGCUGACUGAUACCGGGGGAUGUGCUGAUAUUGCCCAGCUUGGCACACAAAGGGGAAAAGCUGAGACCCUUCAGCAUGGCCUGAGAUUGCCGACACUUGUCGAUCUUUUGCAAUCACCCCUUCUCCGGGACUUCUGCAUGGCACAAAGGUGAAAAACUGAGGACCUUCAACAUGGCCCAGGACUUGUCGAGACUUGUUGAUCUUUCGUAAUCACCUCUUCACCCCAGACUUUCCUCUACUCGGAAAGCUAUUAAAAAGCUCACCUAAAACAGCACUGGUAGGGAACCCACCACCCUGAGGACCCUCCGCCCACCAGCCUCACCACAGGAACUGGACCAGACACCGGAGGACGCUACGCUCCUGAACUACAAACCCCAACAUCCAUGCCAUGGGACACCGGAGGCCAUACAUCAUCAUACAAGUCUUGUCAUCCAUGCUGCAGAGACGUAAGAGUGGCUGGGUCCUUCACCCUUUGCUUUCUUCCUUUCUCUCUGCUCUUUCCUUCUCUCCUUUUUUUCUAUAUCCAUAUGUCUUUGUCUCUCCUUCCGUGAGUGGUGAUAUAUUACUCUCUCUCUCUCUUAUACCUUAGUUUUUCUUCCCUCUCUACCACUCUCUUUCUCUCUUUUCCUUUUGAACAUAUAAGAGUAACAUCAUCUUAAGCUCUGCUGUUGCAUUCUUGUUAAGUUUUGUAUUAUAGCUACUAGUGUUUGCCAAUCCAUUGCUCAUGGAAGGACUUUGGCUGUUAAUGUAUUGCUAAGUUCUGUAAUAUCAUAAAAUGCUUUUGCCAAGCCACUAUUCGCUGUAAUUAGUAUUCCAACAUGUACUUUUAGUAAAACUCAUAAUUGAAUUGGACCCCUGGAGUGAUUGUCAUUCACCUUGCAUAACUACGCAGAAUUAACCCAGAGUUAACUCACACCUGGUCUCAUCUGUUGAGCCAGGGCACGUGUCGCGUUCAGAGUUAACUCAUCCCUCACUCCAUCUGUUGGGAUGCGACACUAGCCCUUGACGUUUCUCAUGUGAAAUAU